UCCUGCAUCUCUCUUUCCUGCACCGAUUCGAAUCGAAUCACUCUACCAUUUCCUCCAUCUCUUCCUUCAUGCGAAAAUCUGAUUCAAAUCAAUUUCAGGACCGAUUUCACUCGUCAUAGGUCCAGAAUCCUCUCAACCUUUUGUCCAUUUUCUCGAUAUAUAUCUUUCUCGCAGAAGGUUUUUGCCGAUAAAGGAACAAAAAGAUAUACCCCUUCAGUCGUCUCAAUUAAACCCUCAGGAUUUUUAGUUGGGUGAAAACGGUUGUGAUCGUAAGCCCUUCAUCCGUCGAAGUACGGCGAGUUCUCGCUAUGUUUUUCAUUGGCUGCAAUCUUGAAGUAAGCGUUUGUCACUUGAAGAUGAGGCCAUUUUCUUGGUUCCAAAGAACAAACACACAAGCUCUAUAGCUGGAGGGGGAAUGAUAAUAUUAUUACUGCAAGUCUGGAACGACUGUAGUGAUUGUUUUUUUUCAAGCAACGAAGUGUGAGGCAAAGGGCUAUAGCUACUGUUAAUGCUUAAGUGAAGAAGUAUGAGGCUGACAUUCCAAGAAAAGUGAUCUAUGAACAACAGCAGGAGUUGUUGCUGCAACACGAAACCUAGCUUUUGACUAUCCGCUGACAUCUUUCUGAAGGUUUUUUAUGGCAGUUUUGAGGAAAAGCAUAUCAAAGAAUACUACUACUGCGAUGAUGUGAGUGCCCUCUAUCCUUAAUAUGGUCAAAUGGGGGUGCAAAGUUCAUAUUUUUCUUAAUAUGGUCAAAUGGUAUGCAAAUGAGAUUGGGUUAAGCUUUUGGGUUUAACUCUCUCACUCUCUUUUUUAUUUUGUUCAUUCAUCUUUAAUUAUUAUCGGCAUAUCAUGAGAUCUAGAGCAAACUGAGAAAUUGAAAAACUUUUGAAUACUCUAAGCUUGCCCUUUUGACUAAUGCACUCAUCAAAAAGUCUCAUGGCCACGAGGGGAGUAUACAAGACUGAUGAGGAUCAAGUAUCCAUAUAUAAAGCUAUAAAAGGAUUGUGUAUCCAAUUAUUUGGAAUCUUAAGAAAGAACAAUAAUUUACUAUUAUGAAAGGUUUUGACAGUUAGUUUUGAGCCAUGAUCCAGAUUGGUAGUUCUGGACAAGUAACAUAUUCUCUUUAUCAGAAUGAUGAUUGAGAUAAUAUUGUUUAGAUCAUUAUCUCCUUAUCACUAAAGAUUUUAGUGCAAUACUAAUAAUUUCACUGCUAAUGAGAACUUUAUCUGGGAUUUUCUUUUGUGUUGUCACUUCUGAUUUUACUGAUUGAUGUAUUUCUUGAAGGUGGUGAUGUAAUCAUAAGAAAAAGUCGAGUUCUUUAGUUCAUUGCAAGUCGACCCAUUGCCAUGCGCCCUAAUAUUAGCAGUCAAAAUGGAGCAAUUUGUCUGGAUAUUUUGAAAGACCAAUGGAACCCAACUCUGAUAUUUAACUGCAGAGAUUGUUGGGUCUAAAAAUAAGAAAAUGGAGAGAGUAGCACAACACUACUACUUGAAAUUGGCUUUGGGUAAGCUUCCACUCUCUUCUAUUUAUAAUCUCUUUGAGAAGUGAUUUUGGUUGCUGGUUGAAAGAGAUAAUGUCAAAUUCUCAUAUAUGAACUAAGAAAAUAAUAUGCAUGUCUAAUGAAGUGGAAUUUUUUGUGGUAUUAUUUACAUGCAUGUUAUAAAUUUAGUUGUUGAUCUUGACUUGACACGAAGAAUGGCAUUAAAAAAAAUUGAAAAACUAGGGCUACUCUACUGUUUAUGCAGCAAGCAAAGGGAAGGAAAGGAAAAACAGUUAAUUUAAUGCUCCCUUUUCUCAAUCACUCUCCACAUUUUCUGCAAGCUGAAUCAUUCAUAUCUUUCAAACUAAAUAGUUUUUACUUUUCUGUGUAUAUAUUUUGUCUUGCAUUCUUUUAUAAGUUUUGAAACUAUAACCGCGGUAUGUCUUAUAGCACUACAGCUUUCCAUAAAGUGUUUCCAAUAAUACAGUUUUAUAUGUAAUACUCUUACACUCUCUUUUACUAAUUUUUGUUACACUAUCAAUCACUCCCAGGUGAUGUGUGGUUCAAAGGAUUCCAAGAGUUUCAUUCACCCAAUUUCUGAUCUUCAUGUAAAAAUUCUUUCAAAAAGUUCAAACAUCUUUUAGUGUAAAUAUACAUGAACCUUCUUUAAUAAUCACUUAUAACUUCAAAAUAUGUUUUUUUUUUAUACGGUAACUAACCCCGCAGCAACCAUAUUUCUAGUAUAUAUAAAUACAUGUACAUAUAUUCACCAUUACAAACAGAGAAAAUGAAACAGAAGAAGAAUCCUUUGG